UGCCAGCCGCCGCGGUAAUACGGAGGGUGCGAGCGUUAAUCGGAAUUACUGGGCGUAAAGGGCGCGCAGGUUGAUAUUUAAGUUAGAUGUGAAAUGUCAUGGCUUAACCAUGAGAGGUCAUUUAAUACUGGAUAUCUGGAGUGUAGGAGAGGGAAGUAGAAUUUCCGGUGUAGCGGUGAAAUGCGUAGAUAUCGGAAGGAAUACCAGUGGCGAAGGCGGCUUUCUGGCCUAACACUGACACUGAUGCGCGAAAGCGUGGGUAGCAAACAGGAUUAGAUA
rnacentral:rRNA from 1 species